rnacentral:rRNA from 1 species
AUUGAACGCUGGCGGCAGGCUUAACACAUGCAAGUCGAGCGGGGGAAGGUAGCUUGCUACCGGACCUAGCGGCGGACGGGUGAGUAAUGCUUAGGAAUCUGCCUAUUAGUGGGGGACAACAUCUCGAAAGGGAUGCUAAUACCGCAUGCGUCCUACGGGAGAAAGCAGGGGAUCUUCGGACCUUGCGCUAAUAGAUGAGCCUAAGUCGGAUUAGCUAGUUGGUGGGGUAAAGGCCUACCAAGGCGACGAUUUGUAGCGGGUCUGAGAGGAUGAGCCGCCACACUGGGACUGAGACACGGCCCAGACUCAUACGGGAGGCAGCAGUGGGGAGUAUUGGACAAUGGGGGGAACCCUGAUCCAGCCAUGCCGCGUGUGUGAAGAAGGCCUUAUGGUUGUAAAGCACUUUAAGCGAGGAGGAGGCUACUCUAGUUAAUACCUAGGGAUAGUGGACGUUACUCGCAGAAUAAGCACCGGCUAACUCUGUGCCAGCAGCCGCGGUAA